GACGAACGCUGGCGGCGUGCCUAAUACAUGCAAGUCGAACGAGAGCGACCGGUGCUUGCACUGGUCAAUCUAGUGGCGAACGGGUGAGUAACACGUGGGUAACCUGCCCAUCAGAGGGGGAUAACAUCCGGAAACGGAUGCUAAAACCGCAUAGGUCUUCGAACCGCAUGGUUUGAAGAGGAAAAGAGGCGCAAGCUUCUGCUGAUGGAUGGACCCGCGGUGCAUUAGCUAGUUGGUGAGGUAACGGCUCACCAAGGCCGUGAUGCAUAGCCGACCUGAGAGGGUGAUCGGCCACAUUGGAACUGAGACACGGCCCAGACUCCUACGGGAGGCAGCAGUAGGGAAUCUUCCGCAAUGGGCGCAAGUCUGACGGAGCAACGCCGCGUGAGUGAAGAAGGUUUUCGGAUCGUAAAACUCUGUUGUUAGGGAAGAACAAGUGCUAGAGUAACUGUUAGCGCCUUGACGGUAUCUAACCAGAAAGCCACGGCUAACUACGUG
rnacentral:rRNA from 1 species